UUCAGAAUGCAGCAGCACGUGUACUAACAGGAACUAAGAAACGAGAUCAUAUUUCUCCUGUUUUAGCUUCUCUGCACUGGCUCCCUGUAAAAUCCAGAAUUGAAUUUAAAACCCUACUGUUAACUUAUAAAGCUCUAAAUGGUCAAGCUCCGUCAUAUCUUAGAGAGCUCAUAGUGCCAUAUUAUCCCACCAGAACACUGCGCUCUGAGAACGCAGGGUUACUCGUGGUCCCUAAAGUCUCCAAAAGUAGAUCAGGAGCCAGAGCCUUCAGCUAUCAGGCUCCUCUCCUGUGGAAUCAGCUUCCUGUUACGGUCCGGGAGGCAGACACCGUCUCCACAUUUAAGACUAGACUUAAGACUUUCCUCUUUGAUAAAGCUUAUAGUUAGGGCUGGCUCAGGCUUGCCCUGUACCAGCCCCUAGUUAGGAUGACUUAGGCCUAGUCUGCCGGAGGACCCCCCAUAAUACACCGGGCACCUUCUCUCCUUCUCUCUCUCUCUCUCUCUCUCUCUCUCUCUUUCUCUCGUAUUCUAUUACUGCAUCUUGCUAACUCGGCCAUUCUGGAUGUCACUAACUCGGCUUCUUCUCCGGAGCCUUUGUGCUCCACUGUCUCUCAGAUUAACUCAUAUCACAGCGGUGCCUGGACAGCGUGACGUGUGUGGUUGUGCUGCUGCCGUGGUCCUGCCAGAUGCCUCCUGCUGCUGCUGCCAUCAUUAGUCAUUAGUCAUACUUCUACUGUUAUUAUACACAUAUGACUAUUGUCACACAUGUAUACUGCCAGAUAUUAAUACAUACUUUCAACAUAUUGUACCGCAGUAGCCAGAACUAUAACUAUAAUAUUAUUACUUUCAUUAAUGUUGUUGUAAGCUACUGUCAUUACCUGCAUCUCUCUCUCUCUCUCUCUCUCUCUCUCUCUCUCUCUCUCUCUCUGUCUCAUUGUGUCAUGUGGAUUACUGUUAAUUUAUCAUGCUGAUCUGUUCUGUACGACAUCUAUUGCACGUCUGUCCGUCCUGGAAGAGGGAUCCCUCCUCAGUUGCUCUUCCUGAGGUUUCUACCGUUUUUUCCCCGUUAAAGGGUUUUUUGGGGAGUUUUUCCUGAUCAGCUGUGAGGGUCAUAAUGACAGAGGGAUGUCGUAUGCUGUAAAGCCCUGUGAGGCAAAUUGUGAUUUGUGAUAUUGGGCUUUAUAAAUAAAAUUGAUUGAUUGAUUGAUUUGU